CCUACGGGAGGCAGCAGUGGGGAAUAUUGCACAAUGGGCGAAAGCCUGAUGCAGCCACGUAGCGUGAAGGAUGACUGCCCUAUGGGUUGUAAACUUCUUUUAUAUGGAAGUAAAGUGCAGUAUGUAUACUGCUUUGCAUGUACCUUAUGAAUCAGGAUCGGCUAACUCCGUGCCAGCAGCCGCGGUAAUACGGAGGAUCCGAGCGUUAUCCGGAUUUAUUGGGUUUAAAGGGAGCGUAGGCGGGUGGUUAAGUCAGUUGUGAAAGUUUGCGGCUCAACCGUAAAAUUGCAGUUGAUACUGGCAUCCUUGAGUACAGUAGAGGUAGGUGGAAUUCGUGGUGUAGCGGUGAAAUGCUUAGAUAUCAGGAAGAACGCCGAUGGCGAAGGCAGCCUGCUGGACCGUAACUGACGCUGAUGCUCGAAAGUGUGGGUAGCAAACAGGAUUAGAUACCCUAGUAGUC
rnacentral:rRNA from 1 species